rnacentral:rRNA from 1 species
AAGAAAUUUUUUAAGAGCAAAUGGUGGAUGCCUUGGAAGUAGGAGGCGAUGAAGGACGUGGCGUGGCUGCGAUAAGCCUCGGGGAGCUGCUUAGCAAGCUAUGAUCCGGGGAUUUCCGAAUGUGGAAACACUACUGCGCAAACCGCAGUAACCCGUCGUAAGACGGGGGCGAACCUGGGGAAGUAAAACAUUUCAGUACCCAGAGGAAAAGAAAAAUAUAUUUUAUUCCCUUAGUAGUGGCGAGCGAAAAGGGAAGAGCUCAAACCGAAAGUACUUGUAUUUUCGGGGUUGUAGGGCGUUAACAGAACUUGUUUCGGAAAGAUAUAAAUUUAUUAGUUAGCUGAAUAUUCCUGGAAAGGAUAACCAUAGCGGGUGAUAGUCCCGUAAGCGAAAAUUAGUAAAACUUUCUGGUUGACGUUCCUGAGUACCGCAGGAAACGAUAGCCCUGCGGGAAUCCGGCUACACUGUUAGCCAAAGCUAAAUACUACCUACUUACCGAUAGUGAACUAGUACCGUGAGGGAAAGGUGAAAAGUAGCCCGAUGAGGGCGAUGAAAUAGUACCUGAAACCAUUAUGCUCACAAAGAGUCGGAGUCCCGACGGCGCAAGCUUGUCGUGGAUGACGGCGUGCUUUUUGUAGAACGAGCCAACGAGUCUAAAUAUACAGCUUGUUUAAGCCCUUUUAGGGUGGAAGCAUAGCGAAAGCAAGUGUUAAUAGCGCGAAAAAAUUGUGCUGUAUAUUUAGGACCCGAAGCCAGGCGAGCUUACCAUGAUCAGGGUGAAUCCAAACGAAAGUUUGGAGAAGGCCCGAACCAGUUAGUCGUUCAACGCUUUUGGAUGAAUUGUGGUAAGAAGUGAAAAGCUAAUCGAGCCUGGUAAUAGCUGGUUCUCCCCGAAAUAUCUUUAGGGAUAGCCUAAACGUUUGAGCUUGUGGGGGUAGAGCACUGAAUGGUUCGUCGUGGGUUUACCUAGGCGAUCCAAUCAAACUCCGAAUACCAUAAGUUAUGUUUAGAGUCAGAACACGGGAGCUAAGUUCCGUGCUCAAAAGGGAAAAAGCCCAGAUCGCUAUCUAAGGUCCCAAAAUUUAAGCUAAGUGUGAUAAGGAAGUGAAUUUUCAUUGAUAGUUAGAAGGUUAGCUUAGAGGCAGCUAUCCUUUAAAAAGUGCGUAACAGCUUACUACCUGAGAGAAUUCGCGCCAAAGAUUUACGGGACUAAAGCUUAAUACCGAAGAUGCGACUGUACAGAUUUAUUUCUGUACGGGGUAGGGGAGCGUCCCAUAUUCAGCGAAGCCGAGCCGUGAGGCCAGGUGGAGAAUAUGGGAGUGAGAAUGUUGGCAUGAGUAACCGCAAGGAAGGUGAAAGCCCUUCCCGCCGAAAAUCUAAGGUUUCCUUGGCAAUGACAAUCAUCCAAGGGUUAGGCGAUCCUAAGCUGAACACCGAAAGGUGUUUAUGCGAUGGCCAGACGAUUAAUAUUUCGUCCCUUCGAUUUGUUUUCAAUAAAGUGACGGAGAGCAGUAUCUUGAGCAGAUUAUUGGAUUUCUGUUCGUGGCAUAGGGGGUAACCCGAGUGUUGCGAAAACUUCUUCCUACGGGUUGAGGGAUCCAAGUGAGCGCUCUUCCCAGAAAAGCUUUAAAGAGCUAAGCAAAUCGAAAUCGUACCGAAAACCGACACAGGUGGAUUGGUGUAAGUGUACCAAGGCGAACGAGCGAAACUUCGUUAAGGAACUAGGCAAAACAGCUAGGCGUAAGUUUUCGAGAUGCCUUGCCUCAGCCAGUAAUGGUAUUGAGGCCGCAGCUAAAGAUCCCAGGCGACUGUUUACCAAAAACACAGGUCUCUGCUAAACUCGUAAGAGGAAGUAUAGGGGCUGAAACCUGACCAGUGCUGGAGUGUUAAAGGUGGGGGUGAUUGCCGUAAGGUAAUGGCUCACUGCCCCAAGCCUCCAGUAAACGUCCGCGGUAACUCUGACCGUGUUAAAGUAGCGUAAUCCCUUGCCGGGUAAGUUCCGGCCCGCAUGAAAGGUUUAACGAUCUGGGAACUGUCUCAACGAAGCGCUCGGUGAAAACGCAAUGCCCGUGAAGAUGCGGGAUUCCUGCAGCUAGACGAAAAGACCCCGGGAGCUUUACUAUAUCUAUGUAUUGGGCUUUGGUCUUGGAUGCGUAGCAUAGGUGGGAGGAUUUGAGGUUCUAAUUUCGGUUAGGGCUGAUCCGACAGUGAAAUACCACCCUUUCUUGAUCUUUGUUCUAACCCGCCGCAAGGCGGAAACAGUGCAUGGUGGGGAGUUUAAGUGGGGCGCUUGCCUCCUAAAAAGUAACGGAGGCGUUUAAAGGUUGGCUAACUCCGGAUGGAAAUCGGAGUGAUAGGGCAAAACCAAAAGCCAGCUUUACUGCGAGAUGGACAUAUCGAGCAGUUACGAAAGUAGAAUUUAGUGAACCGACCUUAAUUAACAGAAUUAGGGAAGAUAAUCGGCUAAAAGUUACCCCGGGGAUAACAGGCUGGUAGAGCCCGAGAGUUCACAUCGACGGCUCUGUUCGGCACCUCGAUGUCGGCUCAUCUUAUCCUGGAGGUGGAGAAGCUUCCAAGGGUUGGGCUGUUCGCCCAUUAAAAAGAUACGCGAGCUGGGUUCAGUACGUCGCGAGACAGUACGGUCUCUUUCUACUGUAGGCGUUGAGUUUUGAGGGGAGUUCUGGGUAGUACGAGAGGACCCUCAGGAGCUAACCUCUGGUGUACCAGUUGUUCCGCCAGGAGCAUCGCUGGGUAGCUAUGUUGGUUCGGGAUAAGCGCUGAAAGCAUAUAAGCACGAAGCCCACCCCAAGAUUAGAACUCUUUUAGAUCGGUCGUAGACUACGACCUUGAUAGGCUUUAGGUGUAAGCCCCGUGAGGGGUUAAGCCAAGAAGUACUAAUUGAUCAAAUAAUUUCUUAA